UAUUAGUCAAAACCAUUCAGAUCCUGGUGAUCCCUUCCAUCUCUUCUGCAAUUAUAUGAUUCUUUGAAGUAAAUGGAAUCAAGUAGCUCAUACCCAGAGGGUCUUAGCCACCUAGGUUCUGCACACAGGUGGACUGAGGGCAGCCCAACCGAUUCCCCUGCACAGGGCAUAGGGGCCAAGGGGCCUUCUUCUCAAAGUCUAGUAAGUGCUGGGCUUUGGGAAGGAGGCUUGAGAUUCUGACAGGAUCCUAGAGUCCUCCUUCCCAAAGCUUUGGGAAAUAGGAGGGAGGGCUCUAGGACCCUGUCAGAACUUCACGCCUCCUUCCCAAAGCCCGGGGCCUUGCUUACCUGGCUUUGGAAAGGUAGCAGAAGGGCUGGGGGCAGGUGUCCAAUUUUGGCCUCGGACAGGAUGCCAUAUUACCAAGGUCCACCCCCAUCCUACUCAGAGUAGACCCACUGAAAUUAAUAAACCUAAAUUAGUCAUGUCCAUUAAUUUAUAUGGAUCUAUUCUGAGUAGGACUAGCAUUGGAUGCAACCCAUUGAUAUUUACUUAAGAUUUACUUAAGUGUGACAUUGCCCAGAGUUCCCUGACCACGAAUGGACCCUCCAAUCUGGAUUGUCUAUAGAAUUCCGGGUUGGCGCCAUCGGGACUUCCGGGUUGGCGCCAUCGGUAAUGGCGGAUUCCCUCUGACUUUCCGAGGGACCAGCUCUGCGGGAUCGGGUCUUACCGCUGCGGCGAAGCGGGGGCCCUUCAAAAAUCACAGGCGGGUGAAGCCUGUGAACGUGGGACUCGGCAGGCACCCUUUGCGCCCCCCAAUUUGCGAAGGAACCCAUUUACGGGCUCCGGAGCAAAACGGGGUGAGCGGCGCGGUGCUGAGAGUCGACUGCUUCUUCCGCGGAGUGAAGCCGCACAGCCGUUAUUGGAGAGCGCUGACUUUUUCCUGGGACAAUUUGGUUUCAAAAGCAACUACCCGUGAGUAGGAUAAAAUUGGAUUUAAAGGGAGAAAAACAAUUAAUUCGGUAUCGAAGCGGGGAGGCAUAAACAGGAAGUCCGCCUUCCGUUUCUUGUAAACAGAUCAAAGCAAAGAGACUGUAAGCAGAAACUCUGAAAGACGUUUGAAAAAGGACUCAAAUCCUAACAUCAGAUAAGCGAUCUCCCGUCCGGAUUGCAGGAAGGGAGGGGGGAAAGGUUUGAACUGUAUUUUUCUGCAAAAAAAGAGAGGAAAGGAAGCUAAAAUCCACCGCUUAGAGCCUGGGAACGGACUGCCUAGGGACAAUAGGAAUGCCGUUCUGUGAAAAGCACUACUGGUAAAUAGAGUACUGUUGACAGCUAACUCUGCAAGAGAGAUACAGUGUUUCUGGACUUCUCCUGGUUUUAAAGUAACUGGAGAUUAAGCGCAAUUGAAACUGUCGUCUUUGUGAAUUGGGGGAUUUAAAAAGGUUAUUUUCUCUUUAAAGCUACAAGUUUGGACUGUUACUGUGUCCCCCUAGAGGAGGUUUGACAUUGUUACAAUAACAACUGGGCCAGGGGGAUUUUCCACUUCAAAACAAAUCCUAGCCGCGGGACUGACCUUGGAUUCUAACUAGAGUGUUAUGGCAGAUGGAAGAGGAAAGUUAGAGUUGCUUCAGGAAAAAACUACGAGGUCUGGUAGAUCCUUUCGUACAGAUACUGGGUGGCAGCGGAGAGCAUCAACAUCUGGUCCGUCUGGACCAUCUGGAUUAUCAGGGGCUGCACCUGUACAAGUUAAACCAAAAGGAAUGUCGUCUGAAGACGUUUUAGCUUUGGCACUAGGAAAAAUUAAUGAAUCUUUGGAAAACCUAAGUAAACAAGUAGCUGAAACAAAUAAACAAGUAGCUGAAGCAUCAGUUAAAAUUGAUCAAAAUACUACAAGUAUUAACAAUUUGGGACAGAAGGUGAACACCAACACAGAGACUAUUGAGAAAUUGUUACAGGAAUCUACUUUGACCCGAAAGACAGCUGAAGAAGCAAAGGACAUAGCAACUGCUACUGAAGAGAAGAUACCACCGAUACAUAGGCAACUCGAGGACCACAGGUUGAUGUUGUCUAUGAUUGAAUUGAAGGAGAAACAAAUGAAUCUGAGAAUCAGGGCCGUACCUGAACUUGAGAAAGAUAAUUUGAUUGACUUUCUUACGCAGGAAUUUGCAGACUUCUGGCAACUGGAUUUGGGGAAGGAAGAAUUUAAGAUAGUGAGUGCAUUCAGGCUUGGAAGAGGAGGAAAGAAGAACAAGGUGAGAGACUGUUUGAUUACCCUUCGAACAAAAGAGGAGAGAGACAAAAUCUUGAAUCUGCAUUUCCGAAAGACUCUGGAAAUACAUCAGUCAAGUGUGGAGAUAUUUAAGGACAUUCCAAAACAUCUUUUGGAUUUAAGGUUUAACUACGGAGAUCUGGUUGCCCUGUUGAGAAGCAAUAGAAUCAUCUUUAGGUGGGAAUUUCCCCAAGGCCUGUCUUUUAAAUAUAAAGGAAGAAAGAUAAAAAUAAGAUCAGUCGACGACAAAGAUAGAUUUCUGAAAGAUCACGGAGAAGACUUACAGAAAGAAGUGGAAUCUGGAGAAGAGCCAAGAGCACUGGAAAGAGGAAUACUAGACAUAGCAAAUUUAUCAUUUGGAUUGCAUGGUUCAGAGAAAGUGACACCACCGACAGAACAAGAACAAACACUUGGUGCAGUUGGAGGUAAAGCAAAGUAAUUACAUCAUGGCUCUGCAACUAUUAAGCUGGAAUUGUAAUGGCCUCAACUCUCCUCGGAAAAGGAAAAGUGUUUUUCAUUUACUAAAAAAGGAACAAUUGGACUUGAUUUGCUUACAGGAAACACACGUGAUAAGGCUACAUAGAAAAGUAUUGAUUAAUAAGAGAUUGGGACAGGAGUUUAUUUCAUCUGACAAAGUUAAAAAAAGAGGAGUAGUGAUUUAUGCAAAGGAGAGAUUAUCACCGAAAUUUAUCUUUAAAGACGAUCAAGGAAGAUUUGUGGCAAUUGAAAUUC